GUUUUACCUCUGCUCUUGUCUUAGUUUGUGAUUGGUGGUUGGUUGGUUGGGCUGUCUGGUUCUGUUGGUGGUGGGUGCUGCUGCCGCUUCUUCUUUAAACCCUCGGAGAUUUGUCAGGUUCAGGAUUAAGAGGAGCAAGGUGCCGCGCCCAACGAGGAUGCCAGGUUCCCCCUAGGUGGCACUAAAUAGUAGUGCCUGGCCCGUCUCUCCAGUGGUGGCACUCGAGACUUUGAGGAUCGAGGACAGAGAGUGAUAUAGUCUUCCUAGAAGCCUCUUGGCAAGUCGCCUAUAUGUGUAGAAGGAUUCCAGUUUGGUGAGUAGACC